ACGAACGCUGGCGGCAGGCCUAACACAUGCAAGUCGAGCGCACCUUCGGGUGAGCGGCGGACGGGUUAGUAACGCGUGGGAACGUACCCUUUUCUACGGAAUAGCCUUUGGAAACGAAGAGUAAUACCGUAUACGCCCUUUGGGGGAAAGAUUUAUCGGAGAAGGAUCGGCCCGCGUUAGAUUAGAUAGUUGGUGGGGUAACGGCUUACCAAGUCUACGAUCUAUAGCUGGUUUUAGAGGAUGAUCAGCAACACUGGGACUGAGACACGGCCCAGACUCCUACGGGAGGCAGCAGUGGGGAAUCUUAGACAAUGGGCGCAAGCCUGAUCUAGCCAUGCCGCGUGAGUGAUGAAGGCCUUAGGGUCGUAAAGCUCUUUCGCCUGUGAUGAUAAUGACAGUAGCAGGUAAAGAAACCCCGGCUAACUCCGUGCCAGCAGCCGCGGUAAUACGGAGGGGGUUAGCGUUGUUCGGAAUUACUGGGCGUAAAGCGCACGUAGGCGGAUUGGAAAGUUGGGGGUGAAAUCCCGGGGCUCAACCCCGGAACUGCCUCCAAAACUAUCAGUCUAGAGUUCGAGAGAGGUGAGUGGAAUUCCAAGUGUAGAGGUGAAAUUCGUAGAUAUUUGGAGGAACACCAGUGGCGAAGGCGGCUCACUGGCUCGAUACUGACGCUGA
rnacentral:rRNA from 1 species